UGUGGCUGUGAAACGCAGGAGGGACAUUCCUGAGUUGACAACCCAUCCCCCACCUGCAGACUAACUCCUUAAUGUAGUGAUUGUGCUGGGACACUCAAGGGCGGGGUUACACAAACACUGCCAGUCAGGGCUCAAACCAAACGCGAGUUUCACCUCGACAGCCACUUCAUCUGCUCAGGUGUGCGACAUUACGCUUCCAAAAAAGGAAGAACAGCUCUUGUACAGCUCACUGGAGACCCAACACACCUGCUCUGGGGCCUGAUGAUACACAACCACCAUUUCUCUCCACAGAACAUACGUUCAUCGGUGUCAAGCCAAUCAGGAACAUCGUGUCAACCUUACUGUUGAUGGUACAGCUUCAUGCCUAAUCUUCUUCUGUGCUAAGCCAUAGAAGGUUACCCUUAGUUAGCCUUGGACUGACAAAGUUUGACACCAUGAAUCUUUCUUUGGACAACCCUUAUGGCAAUGUCACCAUUCCCCGUGCUAAGCUACGUGAAUAUGGAGACUCCAGCAUGGUCAUCAUCAACCCAAUGACCCUGGAAAGCUCUUACAAUGGUAGCUCUGCUCAAAACCCUUAUGGGAGCUUCAAACCCCAAGGAGAGGAGAGUUCAGCUGGUGUGCCUGUCUACGGAGAGGUGAGAGAUAACAAUCAGCGUCCACCUCCAUAUAACAGCCAGGGCACCUACACGGUGAAGGAGGAUGAAGAGCAAGUGGGCCGCUGCUAUUCCUGCUGCUGUCGCUGCCGGAGGAAGAUGUGAGAGCCAGCCUCCCCCGUGGAGCGAAAGACCCUGGAUUUACAAUUUCGGAGAGAAAGGAACUGAAUGGGCUAAGUUUUCUAGAGCAACUCCAUGCAGUGGUUCUAAUAUCUGAACAUUUGACAGCCAAGAAGAUUUUCCAGAAAUCCCAUUUAUUAAACAGACUGGACACCUUCUCAGUGGUAACCUGUGGACACUUGUCCACCACAAACUAAAUUCAACACACUGCCUGCUCCUUUGCCCUUAUUGAAGUCAUUGCAUAAUUACAAAUGGAUUAGCUUUGCAAACAGUGUUUCUACUGUACUACAUAUUUGAGAGAGAUGGCCUUUGCACUGAAGUACUUGAUCGCUCUUGUCCAACUGCUUUGUGCCUGGUACAGUGUACUCUGGUAUUGUGUAAGUGAUGACAAAGUUUGGCAUCUGUGAUGUCUAGAAACUAUGAUUGUUUUCGUUUGUUUUGGUGCCAUGCAGUCAUCCUGCUUUCUUGCACAGUUUCAACAUGCUUGACUCAAGGCAGUAUUUCCAUUCAAACACCUUCCUAGUUCAGGUUUGUUAGGUAUGUGAGAUGGCAUUUGGUUGAGGCCACUGUUCAACUUUUAGGUCUCUGGAUCGUUGUAGUCUUUUGUACAGGGUGAGGUUGUAAGUUUCAGGUCGACCACACCCUACAAAUCUGCCUUACACAGAGCAGGCUGGGGAGCCAGAACAAGAGCACAUUCUUUCUUUCUGAAAGGCACUUCACUUUAAUUCGUUUCAACGGAGCUCACAGGCUCACUCUCCUCGACAAAGCUUUGUCAGUUAUGCAUAAGAAUGGCUCAGUCUAUGGACAGACAAAUCUGCAAUACCUUUCAAUACACUCUUGUAUUUUGCACACAUCACCACAGGAAAUGGACGUUAGCCCUACUAUGCUGUCUAGUACUAUAAAGCAACUGCAGCAUCUGGUAACAAGGAAGACCAAAGGCAAAUAUUUUGAAUUGCACCUGGACAUCCACUGUCAUAUGUGGUGGCAUCUUACUUAUUGGAAAUAGAUACAUUAGAAAUAUGCUAGUAGUAAAGUAGUAGUGAAAAUAUUUUUAAGAAAAUCUUUCACCAACCUGAAGGACACUGCUACAGAGGAAAAAAAACUAGACUACAUUAUCAGUCUAGAUACACAAAACCAAUUAAAAUGUUUGAAUAUCUUGA